rnacentral:rRNA from 1 species
UAAACGUCCCAGUUCGGAUUGUAGUCUGNAACCCGACUACAUGAAGCUGGAAUCGCUAGUAAUCGCGGAUCAGAAUGCCGCGGUGAAUACGUUCCCGGGUCUUGUACACACCGCCCGUCACACCAUGGGAGCCGGGAAUGCCCGAAGUCGGUGACCUAACCUUUAAGGGAGGAGCCGCCGAAGGCAGGUCUGGUAACUGGGGUGAAGUCGUAACAAGGUAGC